rnacentral:rRNA from 1 species
GUCUACGGCCAUGCCACCCUGAACAAGCCCGAUGUCUGAUCUCAAAAGCUAAGCAGGGUUGGGCCUGGUUAGUACUUGGAUGGGAGACCACCUAGGAAGACUAGGUGCUGUAGGCA